UCUCUUUUAGUGCCUCUGUAGGAUGCUGUUUUCUUGUCCUGCUAUGGGUGUUUCAGUACCAACCUAACCUGCAGGUGGGCUGCCCAGUCUGACUUUAGAUGUGUUCUCCUGCUUUUUAUGGGUACAGAUGUUCUCUGGAGUACAAAUUGUACUUCUCCAGCAUGCUGAAGAGAAAAGUUUCUGGUCUCUGGAUUUCCAUUGUGAGUGCUCUCCCUGCUCAUCUGGGAGGCAUUAAAGCCCUUCCCUGACCUACGUGCUGUGGUCAAUGCAUAAAGCCUCUUGUGACCAACCCACUGGUUCCUAAUGCCUCAGGACAUGCCAGAAAACAAAAAGUGCUGAAGAUCUACCAAUAAACCAACUGAAUCGUGGAAAAAAAAGCUGAUGAGGAGGACUGAUCAUGAAAGUUUUUCUCAGAUAGCACUUGUUGAUGGAAAGCUUGCAGAGGAUGGGGGUGGAAGAAAACUUGUUGUUGUUUUCUAUUUCCUGGAAGCAUAUGAGUGGCUGGAAUAUCACUGACAUUGAGAUGGUUCCAAUGACCCUUGAUGGUACAGAUUUUUUUAAAUAUUUCAGUUGUCUUAAUAGUUCCUAAAACCUCGUGUGGUUUUGCUAGGGAUGAAUUGGAGCUCAGCUGAAAUUGCUGAAUGCGACAUAGUUGAUUUUGCAGCUGGCAGAAAGCUAAAUGGAUGUGUUUACUUUGUAACUCAUACAUAGGUUCUCAGUAACAGAUUUAUUAGGAUACUCUGUAAUGUGCAAUACUUGUAAGUGGCUACAGUUUGAAUGGUG
ensembl:lncRNA